rnacentral:miRNA from 1 species
GUAAGAAGUCAAAUCGGUUUC